AUUGAACGCUGGCGGCAUGCCUUACACAUGCAAGUCGAACGGUAACGCGGGGCAACCUGGCGACGAGUGGCGAACGGGUGAGUAAUGCAUCGGAACGUGCCUGGUAGUGGGGGAUAACUGCUCGAAAGAGCAGCUAAUACCGCAUACGACCUGAGGGUGAAAGGGGGGGAUCGCAAGACCUCUCGCUAUCAGAGCGGCCGAUGUCGGAUUAGCUAGUUGGUGGGGUAAAGGCCCACCAAGGCGACGAUCCGUAGCUGGUCUGAGAGGACGACCAGCCACACUGGGACUGAGACACGGACCAGACUCCUACGGGAGGCAGCAGUGGGGAAUUUUGGACAAUGGACGCAAGUCUGAUCCAGCCAUGCCGCGUGCGGGAAGAAGGCCUUCGGGUUGUAAACCGCUUUUGUCAGGGAAGAAAUCUUCUGGACUAAUACUCUGGGAGGAUGACGGUACCUGAAGAAUAAGCACCGGCUAACUACGUGCCAGCCGCCGCGGUAACAC
rnacentral:rRNA from 1 species